rnacentral:rRNA from 1 species
CAGCAGCCGCGGUAAUACGAAGGGUGCAAGCGUUAAUCGGAAUUACUGGGCGUAAAGCGUGCGUAGGCGGUGAGUUAAGUCUGCUGUGAAAUCCCCGGGCUCAACCUGGGAAUGGCAGUGGAUACUGGGUCACUAGAGUGUGGUAGAGGAUAGUGGAAUUUCCGGUGUAGCAGUGAAAUGCGUAGAGAUCGGAAGGAACAUCUGUGGCGAAGGCGACUAUCUGGGCCAACACUGACACUGAGGCACGAAAGCGUGGGGAGCAAACAGGAUUAGAUACCCGGGUAGUCCCUGUCUCUUAUAA